AUUUUGAGAAGUUCCCACCAAGCUGCCAAGGAAGUUCUUAUAUUAAUGCUUUUAAAGCAGCGCCUGGUUCCAGAGCAGGAUCGGGAGGGUGAAAACAUGAGGACCUUUGUAAUUACCUGGGACAAUGUGGCUUUCCAUCAUGCGCAAGCAAUAACAACAUGGUUUGAAGUUCACGCAAGACUGGUAAGUCUCUUCCUUCCACCCUAUUCAUCUUUCCUCUACCCCAUAGAGGAGUUCUUUUCAGCAUGGACGUGGAAGGUUUAUGACCAUCAGCCACAUGACCAGAUGUCCCUCCUUGAAGCCAUGGAUGCUGGCUGCAGGGACAUCACAGUUCAGGAUUGUCAAGGGUGGAUCCGACAUACCAAGCGGUUUUAUCCCAGGUGCAUUGCCUUGGAUAAUAUCAGAUGUGAUGUUUUUUUUUUUUUUUUUUAGUUCCCCCAAUUUUUAUCUGGACUUUUUGCUGUUGUUUUUUUGUUCAGAAUGGUCUUGUGUGUUUCACGGAUAUUUUGUUCACUGUAAGAAAUACUGUAAAACUUUUUCUGUUCUAUCAUACCGUGUUUCUACUGUACCUCCUGUAGUAAACAGUAAAGGAAAAAAAAAAAA